rnacentral:lncRNA from 1 species
GGACACAUCCAGUGGAUACUGUGCAGACCUUCUCCAGCUAAUCUCAGGAAGGCUGAAGUUUUUAGACGGCUACCCUUCAUAUUUAGGGAGAGAAUAUAACCAUGUGGAAAGUCUAGUCUUCAUGUGGAACAUCUGUUACGAAGAAAUUCUACUUGGAAAGCUUGUCUGCUCUAUUAACCCAUCCCUGUUGCUCACUUGGAAGAAGAGGGCCUUCACUUUCCACUGUAAGAAGAAGGUCUUCUGUUGCUCUGAACGCUUCUGUUUAGAGACCUUUCUUCACUGUCCCCAAGGAGAAUGUUCUCCCUGCCAAGGUUAAUGACUCCAUGAUAAUCAGAAACAGCAUGAUUCCAGGAAGUGAGAAUGUCUCUUUGUUCCUCUGCAAAAUGGUAAUGCUAUGAUCUUCAGGAUAGCCCUUAAGGCUGUGGGAAAGAAUUCUGAAAACAUGAGUUCAAGAAUCUAUAAAUCAGUGUAAGAACUGUUCUUUACAGGAUUUCUCAACUAUGUAAAAUAUAAGGAAGCAAUAUGAGUUGUAUGAGGGGCUUCAUGGACCUGAAAGAACAGAGGAUGUAGCAAUAAAUUGUUUAAAACUCUA